GUGCGAGCGUUGUCCGGAAUUAUUGGGCGUAAAGAGCUCGUAGGCGGCUUGUCGCGUCGGAUGUGAAAGCCCGGGGCUUAACUCCGGGUCUGCAUUCGAUACGGGCAGGCUAGAGUUCGGUAGGGGAGAUCGGAAUUCCUGGUGUAGCGGUGAAAUGCGCAGAUAUCAGGAGGAACACCGGUGGCGAAGGCGGAUCUCUGGGCCGAUACUGACGCUGAGGAGCGAAAGCGUGGGGAGCGAACAGG
rnacentral:rRNA from 1 species